GAUGAACGCUGGCGGCGUGCCUAAUACAUGCAAGUCGAGCGGACGGACGAGAAGCUUGCUUCUCUGAUGUUAGCGGCGGACGGGUGAGUAACGCGUGGAUAACCUACCUAUCAGACUGGGAUAACUUCGGGAAACCGGAGCUAAUACCGGAUAAUAUUUUGAACCACAUGGUGCAAAAGUGAAAGACGGUCUUGCUGUCACUUAUAGAUGGAUCCGCGCUGCAUUAGCUAGUUGGUAAGGUAACGGCUUACCAAGGCAACGAGGCCUAGCCGACCUAAGAGGGUGGUAGGCCACACGGGAGCUGAGACACGGUCCAGAGUCCUACGGGAGGGAGCAGUAGGGAAUCUUCCGCAAUGGGCGAAAGUCUGACGGAGCAACGGCGAGUGAGUGAUGAAGGUCUUCGGAUCGUAAAACUCUGUUAUUAGGGAAGAACAGAUGUGUAAGUAACUGUGCACAGCUUGACGGUACCUAAUCAGAAAGCCACGGCUAACUACGUG
rnacentral:rRNA from 1 species